GAUCCUGGCUCAGGAUGAACGCUAGCUACAGGCUUAACACAUGCAAGUCGAGGGGCAUCAGUUUGGUUUGCUUGCAAACCAAAGCUGGCGACCGGCGCACGGGUGAGUAACACGUAUCCAACCUGCCUCAUACUCGGGGAUAGCCUUUCGAAAGAAAGAUUAAUAUCCGAUAGCAUAUAUUUCCCGCAUGGGUUUUAUAUUAAAGAAAUUCGGUAUGAGAUGGGGAUGUCGUCUAUUAGUUGGGGUUA
rnacentral:rRNA from 1 species